rnacentral:rRNA from 1 species
UACGAAGGGGGCUAGCGUUGCUCGGAAUCACUGGGCGUAAAGCGCACGUAGGCGGAUUGCUAAGUCAGGGGUGAAAUCCUGGAGCUCAACUCCAGAACUGCCUUUGAUACUGGCGACCUUGAGUCCGGGAGAGGUGAGUGGAACUGCGAGUGUAGAGGUGAAAUUCGUAGAUAUUGGGAAGAACACCGGUGGCGAAGGCGGCGACCUGGUCCGAUACUGACGCUGAGGCGCGAAAGCGUGGGGAGCAAACAGG